GCCAGCAUGGUGUAGUGGUUUAAGUGUCAGACUAUGACUCUGGAGACCUCUAGAGAUCAGGGUUUGAAUCCCUGCUUGAU